rnacentral:rRNA from 1 species
GAACGCUGGCGGCGUGCUUAACACAUGCAAGUCGAACGGAAAGGCCCUGCUUUUGUGGGGUGCUCGAGUGGCGAACGGGUGAGUAACACGUGAGUAACCUGCCCUUGACUUUGGGAUAACUUCAGGAAACUGGGGCUAAUACCGGAUAGUAGCUCCUGCUGCAUGGUGGGGGUUGGAAAGCUUCGGCGGUUGGGGAUGGACUCGCGGCUUAUCAGCUUGUUGGUGGGGUAGUGGCUUACCAAGGCUUUGACGGGUAGCCGGCCUGAGAGGGUGACCGGCCACAUUGGGACUGAGAUACGGCCCAGACUCCUACGGGAGGCAGCAGUGGGGAAUAUUGCACAAUGGGCGGAAGCCUGAUGCAGCAACGCCGCGUGCGGGAUGACGGCCUUCGGGUUGUAAACCGCUUUCGCCUGUGACGAAGCGUGAGUGACGGUAAUGGGUAAAGAAGCACCGGCUAACUACGUG